rnacentral:rRNA from 1 species
AGCGAACGCUGGCGGCAGGCCUAACACAUGCAAGUCGAACGAACCUUUCGGGGUUAGUGGCGGACGGGUGAGUAACACGUGGGAACGUGCCUUUAGGUUCCGAAUAACUCAGGGAAACUUGUGCUAAUACCGAAUGUGCCCUUCGGGGGAAAGAUUAAUCGCCUUUAGAGCGGCCCGCGUCUGAUUAGCUAGUUGGUUGAGGUAAUGGCUCACCAAGGCGACGAUCAGUAGCUGGUCUGAGAGGAUGAUCAGCCACAUUGGGACUGAGACACGGCCCAAACUCCUACGGGAGGCAGCAGUGGGGAAUCUUGCGCAAUGGGCGAAAGCCUGACGCAGCCAUGCCGCGUGAAUGAUGAAGGUCUUAGGAUUGUAAAAUUCUUUCACCGGGGACGAUAAUGACGGUACCCGGAGAAGAAGCCCCGGCUAACUUCGUG